rnacentral:tRNA from 1 species
GUGGCUGUGGCUCAGAGGUAGAGCACUCGCCUAGCAUGUGUGAGGCACUGGGUUCAAUUCUCAGCACCACA